GACGAACCGUGCGAACGUUGUUCGGAAUCACUGGGCUUAAAGGGCGCGUAGGCGGCUGACCAAGUCUGGGGUGAAAUCCUGCAGCUUAACUGUAGAAGUGCCUGGGAUACUGGUCGGCUCGAGGGAGGUAGGGGUCUGUGGAACUGCUGGUGGAGCGGUGAAAUGCGUUGAUAUCAGCAGGAACGCCGGUGGCGAAAGCGACGGACUGGAUCUCUUCUGACGCUGAGGCGCGAAAGCUAGGGGAGCAAAC
rnacentral:rRNA from 1 species